UACGGAGGGGGCUAGCGUUGUUCGGAAUUACUGGGCGUAAAGCGUGCGCAGGCGGUUCGUUAAGUUCGUUGUGAAAGCCCCGGGCUCAACCUGGGAACUGCAAUGGAAACUGGCGGGCUUGAGUGUGGCAGAGGGGGGUGGAAUUCCGCGUGUAGCAGUGAAAUGCGUAGAGAUGCGGAGGAACACCGAUGGCGAAGGCAGCCCCCUGGGCCAACACUGACGCUCAGGCACGAAAGCGUGGGGAGCAAACAGG
rnacentral:rRNA from 1 species